rnacentral:rRNA from 1 species
UACAGAGGGUGCGAGCGUUAAUCGGAAUACUGGGCGUAAAGCGCGCGUAGGCGGUUUUGCAAGUCGGGUGUGAAAUCCCCAGGCUUAACCUGGGAACUGCAUUCGAGACUGCAUUACUAGAGUAUGGGAGAGGGAAGUGGAAUUUCCGGUGUAGCGGUGAAAUGCGUAGAUAUCGGAAGGAACAUCAGUGGCGAAAGCGACUUCCUGGACCAAUACUGACGCUCAUGUGCGAAAGCGUGGGGAGCAAACAGG